UGGGUUGUUCGCUCGACAUAGAGAGAGCGAAUAGAACUGGGGAAUGAGGGAGAGAACGCAGAGAAGCAGAAGAGGGGGACGAGAGGCUCUCAGGGUUUUGUUUUGAUUGCGCAAGAGUUUUGGUAUUAUUUUUUUUUUCUUUUUUCGGAAUCAAAACCCUAUCUGUUUGUAGGUAUUGGUAUUUUUUUUCCCCUGUAAUUUUUGGGUUUGCUGUGUUUGCAUGGUUUUUGGGAUCAUCUGAAUGAUGAAUUUGAUUGUAUGAGGCUUAAUGUCUGGGCUCAAGGUGUGCGAAGCGUUGGUUUUGUCUGUGUUCCUGGUUUUUGGUAUUAGAAUGUUUGAUGAUAAUGAGUUUGAUUUGUCUUUUGUCUAGAAUCUCUUCUUUUUUGCUUCUGGGGGCUUCCUAUUUGCUGAUUUCGUUUUGUUGUUCGCUCUGCAUGCAUCGAUCGGCUCUUCUUUGCCUAUUUGGUGACUACUUUUGAUAGUGGAACCGGGGCUUUAAGAUAAGUACGGGUGAGUGUUUUUGCCAGUUCUAACUAUACUCAAACCCAAUCCACAAGAAGACAAACAAAAUGAAUAGUGUCCUGCCUGUUCUACCCCUGCCUCAUGUCUUCGAUUACGGAAUUGUCCUGCCUCAUGUCUUCUAUGGCAUCGAGUCCCAGGAGCUGUUUGCUUCUCCUGCCACCGAGUAGUGUUGACGUGGCCGCGCGUCCUUUCCCUGCAGAAAUAUAGAGAUAGAGGGAGACAGCGAUGGUGAGAUCGAGGGUUUGCUCCUUUCCUCCACACAAAGAGAUAGAGAGCGAAGGGAAUUGAGAUUCAGCAGUAAGCAAUUAAACUAUGAAAAGAGGGAAAAACUUCCUGCGGUUUGUUCCUAUGCAGAAUCAAAUCCAAUUGAAGCAAGGUUCUAUUUCGACUUGGAGAAUAAGACGAUUGCUCAUAUUCUUGCUGGGUUUUCUUAUUUGUUCCUAUAAAUAGAAGCAAUUGUUGGGGCAAAAUCGAUUCUGAGGAUGUCAUUAUUUUCUUAGAGAUUCAAGCUAUUGAAGCUCCUGAAUUUUCAAGGAGGACUUUUGAUGGGUAUUGAUGAAUUUCAGAUUGUUCUCGGGUAUUAUUUGCUUGAUGGUGUUUGGUUUCAGAUGUUCUGUUAGUUUGACAAAGGUGCAGCAACUUUGUCUUCAAUUGGAUCAAUUUACGAGUAGAGUGCCUUCUGUGUGAUGUUCAGGUUCCUGGUCAAUAUAGCUGUGUUGAUAUCUGCCAUUGGGUUUUUGUGGUUUUAUUUAUAGAUUCAGCAAGUAUUCAAAAUAAAUCUCACUGUUCUCUCUGUUUUGGCUCUUCAGUUUUCUUUUAUAUGUUUGAAGUUGGCUGCUUUGGGAUUGUUAAACUGAGGUUAAGUUUGAUUCGGUCUCAUAGCUAUGAAAAGUAUGGAUUCUAAAGAAGGAGGUCACUGCUGUGAUAUGUAUAGUCCAAAUGAUUGAAUUAUCUUAAUGAAUUUGGUAUCAUUAUUUGGUCAUCAAUAUUGGAAUUUGUGCUUCUUUGGCAGUGCUUUAGGAUUGGAGAUCAGGGCUCAUAGAAUCUGUAACUGUUCAGGAUGAAUGUUGUAUUCAGAAUUCAUUCUAAACAUUUGGUCCUUUGGUUUUUCGUAUUAUUGGGAAAUUGUAGCAGAUAAAUAGUGUAGAUAAGCAUAUCAAUUUACUAAAAUGAGUUGAAGUUAUGAGUUUUAUGAAUCUCACUAUGAGAAAGACUUCGUUGAAUUGCAACUAAGCCAUAGCAUACACUGCUGAUUUCACUGUGUGUACUUCUAUUGUGAAAAAUCUAUCUAGAUGCUUUUUGAAGAUAUUAACCCUGUCAUAUGCUUUCAGAUUGCGAAAGCUUCUCUGAAUCAACUCAAACUGUUCCUGAUGAAUUGACUUCUUGGAAUUUAAACCCUAAGAGGUUGUAGCAGCAGUGGCCAUUUAUGUGGUGGGAGGAAUCAAAGCAUUAGAUCACACUGAGAAUGCAGUCUCUGUGCUCAUCCAACAUGUAGACUUGGAAAAGAAGAAGAAGAUGAAAUUGAAAUUGAUGACUUUUGCUUUUGCAUUUGCUCUUAUCAUUUUGGUGUUGAUUACAAAUUUACACAAUCAAAUACAUACAUUAAACAUGAUUACUGCAGACGUUGAUUUUGUUUUUGGUUUUGGUUUUACUUUUGUGAGGCAACUCCUUUAUGUUUUGAAUUGAGGGAAAUUUAAGCUACAAUCAUCCACUUUUAAGUUUCAAGGCAUGCACCGAUUGUCCUGACCAUUUGCAUAUAUAUAAACCUUCAUUCAAUUUACUAGCAAUUUUCUACCCCGCAGCAUCGCGCGGGACUACUUCCUAGUUCUAACUAUACUAAAACGCAAACCAGAUGAGGACAAACAAAAUGAACAGUGUACUUUCAGUUUUGACCCCUACUUUUCUGGGCGUUUUACACUCUUGCCCGACAGACACCUGUUAUUUCGUUUGUUUGCCAAUUGCCACAAACCCUGCCACCGCUUUGACCUGUGUGUUUUGGUAGCUGACCCAUACGCAGAAAGAGAGAGGCGUUGAUCUGCAGCCUGAAGAUUUGACGAUUUUGCAUGAUCGAGCCUGGAGUUCAGCAGCCUGAAGAUUUGACGACCUUUGUCUCACGGAUAUAGGUCGUGGUUUGCUGAUCAGUUUUGGUUCUGCUUCUUUAACACCCCUGUUUGAUUUCUUCAAAAUUUAUUCACAUGUCAAUGAUUUACGGUCUGGACUGUACCAGAUUUUCUAGGAAGAAGUAAUUGAUAGCUUCUAGGAAACUAGAGUCCAAGAUGGUACCUUUGAUAUAACAAAUUCAAAAUAUGGUGGAAAGCCCUACAUUGAUAUCAGCAAGUGAAAGAAGGGAAUGACUGCAAAGAGAAGAUGGUUACUGCACUGCGGCCGUAUUGGAUCAAUGGCUACCGGAUAAUAUAAAGACACAUUAUCAUGUUUUGCAACUGGGUGAUGAUGUAUAUGAUGCCAUGUUGAACCAGACGAAUGUUGGCCAUACCAAUAACAAGUACUCUGUGCUUCAAGUUCUUGAAUCCGAUGAUGGUGGUAAUUUUGUGGUUCACUAUAGAUUGGGGGAGAGUAGGUGUCAAGGGUUAAAUGGAGGGGUUUGUAAUAAUAAGAUGGUGGAAACUGAACCAACUUGGAACUAUCGCACUUUGGGGUAUGCCUUUCUCAAGUAAGUUUAAAUGUUGAAGAAGCCUAAUGGUAAGAGAUUUUAUGCAAGCAUAGAUGGACAAGGAGAUAUGAAGUUCAUUUAUGGGACCAAGGGUCUUGGCAUCCAACAUAAAGGAAGAAGGGAAAGCAAGUUUAUCUGGGAAAGUACUUAAUUACUAACUAGACUGCUCAAAACCACUUAAUUGUCAGAUAAACAUAUCUUGAAUCAUCAAACACAGAAUGUAUAUGCAGGGGCUUAUGGUGAAGAAGAAUCCGCAGUAAGAGCAUAUGAUUUGGCAGCACUCAAGUACCGGGGAACACCAACUUUCAAAAAUUUUCCGAUCUCUGAUUAUGAGAAUGAAAUUGAUCUAAUGAAGACUCUUUAACAUUAGAAGAAUACUUGGCCUCUCUAAGAAGAAGAAGCAGUGGCUUUUCAAGUGGUGUAUCCAAGGACAAAGGAGUUACAAGGACAAUGGCAAUUAAAACCCUUCAUCAAAUGUGACUGUUCUGAUAAUGUCACUUGCCACAUUACCUAGCUGUAAUUUAGUCUCUUACUGUCUUUGUUUUUAUUUUGAUGCCACUCUGAACAACCAUACUCUACCUUCAAAAUCACACCCAUCCAAUGAUCAUGAUUUGCAUUUGCAUGAAAGUCUAUACCUUGGAUGUUGUUGGCCUACUUCCACAUGAGCUAUGGACAUCGAGCUACCCAUUCAAUCUGUAUGUUGUUAUAAAUUAUUGUGCUCGAGUUUCACAUUUAGCUGGCCAAGUUUAGUACCAAAUUUGUAAUAUUUGUCAUAUUUUGAAAUAUGUAAAUACACCAGUCUGAUUAGAAUACCAGCUUUUGUAGUCUGUAAAUAAAUAACUUUUUCAAUUAUAAUACAUAUUUGGCAUGAAAGUAAGCCAACGUUUCUUGAAUUGCAAUUGCUACUCUAUUAUGCAAAAAAUUGAGGUGGAAAACAAACCCGCAGCAUCGCGCGGGAUUCGUGACUAGUAAUAUACUAAUAUAGUUUUGGCUACAUAUGCUUAUGUGUUCAUUUUUUUAUUCCUGUACAAUGAUGUGGUUUCAUCCUUCAAAUAUUAUAUAAGUU